rnacentral:lncRNA from 1 species
CCUGCUUGAUGGUGAACACAAAGGAACGCAUCGAGAUCGACCGGUUCGAGGGUGAUGGUGAUUUCGCCCUAUGGAAGGUGAGGAUGCUUGCUCAUUUUGGAGUACUUGGACUUAAAGCUAUUCUCACCGAUGAUAAGCUUUUGAAAGAUGACGUGGAUCCAAAGGAUGAACCUGAGUCUGCCAUGAAGGACACGGGGAAGGGGCUAGCUGGGCUUGUUGCGCCCACACCUGCAAUUGAUCCUGCAAAAUUCGAAAAAUCAGAGAAAGCAAAGGACCUAAUUGUGCUGAAUGUUGGGAACAAAGUCUUAAGGAAAAUCCAACAUUGUGAGACUGCUGCUGCAAUGUGGAGUACACUGAACAAGUUGUACACAGAGACAUCUUUACCCAACAGGAUUUAUCUACAGCUUAGGUUCUACACUUUCAAGAUGGCCGACUCAAAAUCCAUUGAUGAGAAUGUGGAUGAAUUCUUGAAGCUAGUUGCAGACUUAAACAAUUUGCAAGUUGAAGUAUCCGAGGAAGUUCAAGCUAUCCUACUGCUAAGUUCUCUACCUAACAAGUAUGAUCAACUCAAAGAGACUCUCAAGUAUGGGAGAGACACCCUAAGCCUAGCUGAGGUUACAGGGGCUGCAAGGUCAAAAGAAAGAGAAUUGAUCGAGAGUGGUAAAUUUACCAGGUCAGGUGGAGAAGGUCUGAUGGUGACAGACAGGGGAAGAUCAGACCAACGCUCUGGCAAAGGCAAUGGAAAAUCCUAUAGGGGAAGAUCCAAGAGCAGACAGGGGCGUUCCAAAUCGCGUCCCAGAAACAACAAAAACACCAAGGGAUGUUUUGUAUGCGGCAAGGAGGGCCACUGGAAGCGUGAUUGCCCUGAUAAAAAGCCUUACAAAACGCCAGACUCAGCCAAUGUUGUGACAGAGUCCAAGGAACCUUUAAUUCUCACCGCAAGCACCCAAUACUCUAAGGACGAAUGGGUGAUGGACUCUGGCUGCUCGUUCCACAUCACACCAGACAAGAGUUUCCUGUUCGAUCUGGAAGAAUUCAAAGGUGGAAAAGUGUUAAUGGCAAAUAACACACAUAGCAACAUUCAAGGAAUUGGAAAGAUUAAAAUUCUAAAUCCAAAUGGAUCGACUGUGGUUCUAACAGGCGUCAGAUAUAUGCCUGGUAUGAGUAGAAAUUUAAUCUCUUAUGGAAUGUUGGAAACAUCAGGAUGCAGAUAUGAAGGCAAGGAUCUCAUGGUUAAUUUCUAUAAGGAUGAUCAACCGGUUAUCUCAGGGAAAUAUCAUCAGGGACUCUAUUAUCUACAGGGGACAGUCUCUCGAGGAGAGGCUAAUCUAUCUAAAGUUGAGAGGAAUAUGACUAAUGUUUGGCAUUCACGCCUCGGUCAUAUGAAUCUUAAUAACAUGUCUGAACUUGUCAAACGGGGAUUUAUCAUUGACAAGGAAGUUAAGACAUUGGAUUUCUGUGAACACUGCAUAAUUGGAAAAUCUCACAAGCAAAGUUUUCCUAAGGCUAAACAUGUGACUAAAGGGAUUCUAGAGUACAUUCACUCUGACCUUUGGGGUUCUCCAUCUACACCAGAUAGCCUUGCUGGAAACAAAUAUUUCGUGACAUUUAUUGAUGAUUUCUCUAAGAAGGUUUGGAUUUAUUUUCUUAAGACUAAGGAUGAGGUAUUCUCUAAGUUCAGAGAAUGGAAAGCUGAGGUGGAGACAAAGACAGAGAAGAAAAUCAAAUGCCUAAGGACAGAUAAUGGGUUGGAGUUCUGUAAUAAGCAGUUUGAUAAUUACUGCAAACAGGUGGGAAUUAAACGCCACAGAACCUGCAGCUAUACCCCGCAGCAGAAUGGGGUCUCAGAAAGGAUGAACAGAACCAUCAUGGAUAAAGUGAGAUGCAUGUUAGCCGAAUCUGGCCUAGACCAAAGCUUCUGGGCAGAAGCUGCAUCUACUGCUAUCCAUCUGAUUAACAGGUCACCUAACUCUACACUAGAAUUCAAAAUGCCCGAAGAAGUUUGGACAGGUGCUAAGCCCGAUCUGGGACAUCUCAGAACAUUCGGAUGCACUGCUUAUGUGCAUAUAACAGAGGAGAAAACGGGACCAAGAGCCAUAAAGGGAGUCUUCGUGGGAUAUCCUAUGGGCACUAAAGGCUACAGGGUCUGGAUAGAGGAGGAAGGCAGAUGCAGAACAAGCAGAAACGUUGUCUUCAACGAGGAUGAGCUGUACAAACACACUGUUGCUAAAGGAAAAGAAAGCACAGAAGUGACUAAGAAAGGAAAACGAGCUAAGAAGAAGGUUUCAUUCAGUGAUGAUUUGAUCAGAGGACCUUCUCCUUCUGUCGAAUCCAAAGACACAUCUGAUCAAGGUGGAGAAGAAUCAUCAUCAUCUAGCUCUAACAGCUCAGGUAACCAAGGACAAGAUCACGAAGCUGAUAGUGAAAGUGAUCACGAAGUUGAGAGUGAGAGUGGUGCCAUUGAAUCUCUAGACACCUAUGUUCUGGCACGAGAUAGGGAAAGGAGACAGAACGUGAGACCACCAUCCCGAUAUGAAGAUGGGAAUUUUGUAGCUUACGCUCUCAAUGUGAUUGAGGACUUGGAAGUUCAGGAGCCAAAAAGCUACGCAGAAGCUAUGAGAAGCCGAGAAAAGAAACUAUGGAAGCAGGCAGCAGAAGAAGAAAUGGAAUCUCAUAGAAAGAACAGAACCUGGGAUCUCAUUGACAGGCCUACAAAGGCAAAGCUUGUUGGAUGCAGAUGGCUAUUCAAGCUAAAGCCAGGAAUCCCAGGUGUUGAGGAUGAACGAUACAAAGGCAGACUAGUUGCUAAAGGAUAUUCUCAGACAGAAGGGAUUGACUACAAUGAAAUAUUUUCACCUGUUGUGAAACAUGUCUCUAUCAGACUUAUGCUUAGCAUUGUGGUGAAUUUGAAUCUGGAACUAGAACAGAUGGAUGUUAAAACUGCUUUCUUACAUGGAAGCCUAGAGGAAAGAAUCCUUAUGGAACAGCCAGAGGGGUUCAUAAAGCCAGGGACAGAGAACAAAGUAUGCCUGUUAAGGAAGUCUCUGUAUGGCUUGAAGCAAUCCCCAAGAAGAUGGAACCAUCGGUUCAACAACUUCAUGAGGGAUCAGCUAUUUGAACGUUGCAGUAAGGACCUAUGUGUCUACAUGAGGGAUGUUCAAACUAAUAAGGCGAUCUAUCUACUCCUAUAUGUCGACGACAUGUUGAUUGCCUCAGGAAAUAAAAAGGUGAUCAAAGAGCUGAAGGAAAAGCUGAGUGGAGAAUUUGAGAUGAAGGACAUGGGAAAGGCCUCAAGAAUCUUGGGCAUGGAUAUCACCAGAGAUCGAGAGAAGGGAACCCUGAUCCUAUCUCAGAGCAAAUACAUUGAGAAAGUCCUAAGGACGUUUGAAAUGCAGGACGCUAAGGCUGUGAUUACUCCUACUGCAUCACACUUCAAACUAAGAAGUCUCACAGAUGACGAGUUGAAAGUGGAGGCUUCUCAGAUGGAAAGAGUUCCCUAUGCCAGCGCCGUGGGGAGCCUAAUGUACGCCAUGGUAGGCUCCAGACCUGACUUAGGUUUUGCAGUAGGCUACGUCUGCAGAUUCAUGAGUAAACCAGGAAGGGAACACUGGAAAGCAGUUCAGUGGGUCCUAAGGUACUUAAAGGGGGCAGUGAAUUCGAAUUUAACAUUCAGAAAGAACUCUACACUCCUAGUGGAAGGAUACUCAGACUCAGAUUAUGCAACAGACAUGGAUAGAAGGCGUUCAGUAACUGGAUAUGCAUUCAAAUUUGGAGGUAAUACUAUCUCAUGGAAGUCAUGUCUACAAUCAGUGGUUGCCUUAUCUACUACAGAAGCAGAGUACAUGGCUAUGAAUGAAGCAGCAAAAGAAGCAAUGUGGCUAAAAGAAAUAUGCAAUGAACUAGGUUUCAAGCAACAGGGGAUCAAACUCUACUGCGACUCUCAAAGUGCCCUAGCUCUAGCAAGAAAUCCAGUCAAUCACGAAAAGACAAAGCAUAUAGCUACCAAGUUCAACUUCAUUCGAGAUCUAGUGGAAUCAGGGGAUAUUGUCCUACACAAGAUUCAUACUAAUGUCAAUCCUGCAGACUUCCUAACAAAGACGGUACCUGGUCAGAAGUUCCAGCUUUGCUGUGAGCUUUUGAAUGUGAACUGAGAAGACUGGAGACGCUCCAGGUGAUUAAAGUUGUAUGAUCCCAUCCUCGCAUAACACAAAAAAAAAAAAAAGUCAGUGUGUGCGUAAAUAGGGAAUCAAAGGCAACUGGGAGUGUCACUAAAGAAGAAGGAAUCACCUGGAGGAUGAUUAGAACCAGGUAAGAAGACCUGGUUUAGGUGGAGUAACUUGGGCCACCAGACAUUCCCACAUAAGAGGACACAGACAAUGCUUCAUGAGUUGUCAGAAGCAAGCAUCGGGGUCCGGAAAGGUUUCAACAACCAAUCACCAACACCUACGAGACAGUGAACCUACGUCAAGCCACAAAAUACAGUUGUGAGUAACAAACCCGAGAACGUUACCUGAGCACAAGAGUAUUUGUUGAAAGGCUUACCAGCAGAACAUGAUAAUAUAAUAACAGUUCAGAGAGCUGAAUCACAUGUCCGAUCAAGGAAGGGUUUCAAGACUGAAACUAGGUGAGCUCGUCAUCGAGCUAAAACCGGCUCCUGAAACAGAACAGAAGAGUCAGAUUGACAAGUGAAGAACAUAUUAGAGAAGGGUCGCUGAGAAAGGAGGUUACUUUAUCUACAAAAGGGGUGGAGUGUGAUGAUAGAGCUCAGGUAAGAGCUCACCGACAUGUCAGGGUCUCAAUCGCGUCUAGAGACAGAGCCGCGAGCCAUCUGAGACGACAUGCAAAGGAAAAGAAUCCACGGGUUAGCUCAAGACCUACAAGACUCGUUUAGUAUCCCUAACAGAUGAUACUAAUCGCUCAUGAAAAGGAGAGAUGAGAAGUACCUGGGGAUAUUAGGGAGGAAAGAUGAUGGAGUCACGAUCAGGUGAGCCAUCAUCAGAGAAGUAAGUCGCCGCUCGGUGAAGAGACUUCGAGGGAAAAAUGGAGAGGAGAAGAUGCGACGCUAUCGAGGUGGAGGUGGCGAGAUCUUCUUCAAUCCGAGCGACGUUUGCGAGGUGGAGCAAACGGAGAUCUCUCCCAAGAUAAGACCGAGUCCAUUUCAGUGGAGAAGGUUCGCGAGAGAGAGGAAAGAGAGGAGAGAGAGUCAUACUGACUCGUCUUCCUUCGAUCAAGACAAAGAGACAAGGAGAGCUGGGCUGUCGGCAACCAGGAUUGCACGAUGGGCUAUUAUUGGGCUCGACUCAAGCUGGUGGAGAUUUGUGAAGCUUGGGCCUCACCAGAAGUAAAAUGGGCCAGCGACAACACCAUAUCCUCCAUGGGCUGAGUUCACAGCAGGCCCACUCCAGCUCA